rnacentral:rRNA from 1 species
CCUACGGGAGGCAGCAGUGGGGAAUAUUGCUCAAUGGGCGAAAGCCUGACGCAGCGACGCCGCGUGAGGGAUGAAGGUCUUCGGAUCGGAAACCUCUGUCAGCAGGGAAGAACGGUCACUGUGCUAAUCAGCAGUGAAUUGACGGUACCUGCAAAGGAAGCACCGGCUAACUCCGGGCCAGCAGCCGCGGUAAUACGGAGGGUGCGAGCGUUAAUCGGAAUUACUGGGCGUAAAGCGCUCGUAGGCGGUAUGUCAAGUCAAGGGUGAAAUCCCCGGGCUCAACGUGGGAACUGCCUUUGAUACUGGCAACCUGGAGUGUGUGAGAGGAUAGUGGAAUUCGAGGUGUAGGAGUGAAAUGCGUAGAUAUCUGGAGGAACAUCGGUGGCGAAGGCGACUAUCUGGCACAUAACUGACGCUGAGGAGCGAAAGUGUGGGUAGCAAACAGGAUUAGAUACCCCAGUAGUC